CGAACCUCGAAUCAAACUGGAAUCCCCCCUAAAUUUAGGCAUAUCAUUAA
rnacentral:rRNA from 1 species